GACGAACGCUGGCGGCGUGCUUAACACAUGCAAGUCGAACGGAAAGGCCCUGCUUUUGUGGGGUGCUCGAGUGGCGUACGGGUGAGUAACACGUGAGUAACCUGCCCUUGACUUUGGGAUAACUUCAGGAAACUGGGGCUAAUACCGGAUAGGAGCUCCUGCUGCAUGGUGGGGGUUGGAAAGUUUCGGCGGUUGGGGAUGGACUCGCGGCUUAUCAGCUUGUUGGUGGGGUAGUGGCUUACCAAGGCUUUGACGGGUAGCCGGCCUGAGAGGGUGACCGGCCACAUUGGGACUGAGAUACGGCCCAGACUCCUACGGAAGGCAGCAGUGGGGAAUAUUGCACAAUGGGCGGAAGCCUGAUGCAGCAACGCCGCGUGCGGGAUGACGGCCUUCGGGUUGUAAACCGCUUUCGCCUGUGGCGAAGCGUGAGUGACGGUAAUGGGUAAAGAAGCACCGGCUAACUACGUG
rnacentral:rRNA from 1 species